ensembl:lncRNA
UUGUACUUAUGAUAAGGGACAUGGGAAUAAUGUUUUUAGAAAGACCUACAAGCGGAGGGGAAAGGGGUAGGUUCCCAUGAGAGGAAGGGAUAGGGGUAGGUACCUGUGAGAGAAGGGGAUAGGAGUAGGUACCUAUAAUGGUAGGUACCUGUGAGAGGAGGGGAAAGGCGUGGGAGUUUGUGUGCUUCAAGCAGUUCCAGAACUGGUGCGUCUACUGGGUCCACCACAAAAGCUGAAUCUGACGCUGCGGCCAAGAGAGGUCACUUCUCUUGUCUCAUUACUUCCUGAUCCAGAAGAGCUUGACGAAUCAGAGAGCUCGAUCUGCAUAGUGAGGUCAAUGGCAGGAACGACCACAGUGGAUGUAGACUCCAUCACCCAAUUUGUAAUAUCCAUAUGCACCUAGCACUAAACUCAUCUCUGCUCAUCUGAAAUGUUAACAAACUAACUCAAUAUGGUCUUUUAACGGAGCUGCACUGCUGCACCAUGUGUUUACUCAAGCUAGUCAAUUAAAGCAGUGGUUCAGGAUGUUCCACAAUGCUGGAAAGGGGGGCCUAAGUAGAAAAGUUUGGGAACCUCUGAAUUAAAGCUCCUGCACGAUUUCCACCAAUAAGAGUUUGGAAUGUUUGGUCCAUCUUACCAACAUGAACUACUUUAGAAGUGACUAUAACUCACCCCGGCACGCAUAUUCUCACUCAGCAGAUUCCAAUGGCUGAAAAGUAAAUAAAAACAGGUACACAAAUAAACUACAUGAUAUUACCUCUAUUCUCUUAGAUUACGUUAUGGAUGGACCUCUACGGAAGUAGGCCACAUCCAAACAUCCCUGAUUGGUCAGUUGAGUCCCUUGUAUUUCCCGAGACACCUCACCUCCUUCUCAAAACCCAUUGGACGAGAAGGUCAAAAGGGAGGGCUUUCUCAUCCAAUGGGUUUGAGAAGGAGGCGAGAAGAGAGGACUCGAGGAGAAUGCAAUUGAGAUUGUCCCUAUGGGUACGUCCCAAAUGGCCCCUAUUCCUUAAAUACGGAACUAUUGUUGACCAAGGCUCUAAUAGCGAACAUAUCUAGGGGAUGCAUGGGGAACCAAAGAGCAACUACCCAUCCUUUAUGUCCUGCACAAAGGCGUGUAGGUCUGGGUAGCUUCUCUUUCCCCUGCUGAGGGUGAGGCUGGUCUGGGAGGCUGCAGCCUUGCG